rnacentral:rRNA from 1 species
GCUUAACACAUGCAAGUCGAACGGCAGCACAGUCGUAGCAAUACGAUGGGUGGCGAGUGGCGGACGGGUGAGUAAUGCAUCGGGACCUACCCAGACGUGGGGGAUAACGUAGGGAAACUUACGCUAAUACCGCAUACGUCCUACGGGAGAAAGCGGGGGACCUUCGGGCCUCGCGCGGUUGGACGGACCGAUGUGCGAUUAGCUAGUUGGCAGGGUAAUGGCCUACCAAGGCGACGAUCGCUAGCUGGUCUGAGAGGAUGAUCAGCCACACUGGGACUGAGACACGGCCCAGACUCCUACGGGAGGCAGCAGUGGGGAAUAUUGGACAAUGGGCGCAAGCCUGAUCCAGCAAUGCCGCGUGUGUGAAGAAGGCCUUCGGGUUGUAAAGCACUUUUAUCAGGAACGAAAUACCACGGGUUAAUACCCUAGGGGGCUGACGGUACCUGAGGAAUAAGCACCGGCUAACUUCGUGCCAGCAGCCGCGGUAAUAC